rnacentral:rRNA from 1 species
GUUACCCAGAGAGAUUUGGGGUCCACUUCGGUGGCGCAGAGACAGGUGCUGCAUGGCUGUCGUCAGCUCGUGUCGUGAGAUGUUGGGUUAAGUCCCGCAACGAGCGCAACCCUCGCCCUUAGUUGCCAGCAUUUAGUUGGGCACUCUAAGGGGACUGCCGGUGAUAAGCCGAGAGGAAGGUGGGGAUGACGUCAAGUCCUCAUGGCCCUUACGGGCUGGGCUACACACGUGCUACAAUGGUGGUGACAGUGGGCAGCGAGCACGCGAGUGUGAGCUAAUCUCCAAAAGCCAUCUCAGUUCGGAUUGCACUCUGCAACUCGAGUGCAUGAAGUUGGAAUCGCUAGUAAUCGCGGAUCAGCAU